CUCUGAUGAGUAUUAUCUGUACAGUUACCUUCCAAGUAGAAAGUUUGGUUAGACCAGAUCAGAGA
rnacentral:tRNA from 1 species